CAAGUAUCUUUGUUUUCUUAUUUCAAGUUCGUGAUAGCAGCAGCAAAUAUCUUUUGCUUAAAUUCAUCAAUAGUACCAGCAAGUAUUUUAUUCCUUCUUUCAAAUUUACACAGUAGCAGCAAUUGAUUCUCUUCCUCUUCAAAUUAAUGAAGUACUACAGAAACCUUGUUCCUGCUUUGAAUUUCAACGUAGUGCGGUAGCAUGAAAAUUUCCUCAAAUUAUAUCAAAGUCCAUCCAAGAUCAAGUGAAGCAUCCUUAGAUAAAGGCUGUCUUGUGUGAUUGAGGGUUGGCACACUAGUUACAAUGAGUUCGCCAUUGGAUCGUAUUGGCAACACGAGAAAGUCCGCCAUCUAAAAUUGUUUACCAGAUAGCUAUGGACAACAACUUCAACAAUGUUGCAGUGGCGAACCAGGAGUUACCAAAUGAAGAGGUGCUACAGGAGGGCGUAGAAGUAGCCGUCAACGAAUUACCACAACCACGCCACUCAAUUUGGAGGAGGCGGAAAGGAGGAUUAAAAGGAAAUGAAAAGGAGAAGACUCGGUUGUCAAUGGCAGCUAAAAGCGGAGCUGCUGCCUUCAGUAAAGAAGUAAAGGAGACACAUAAAGGAACAGAGGAGAACAAGGAAGAAAACGAAGAGGAGGAUGUCAUCGAUAGAGGCAACGUGAACAACAAACGCUACCUUAUCAUGGGCUUGAAGGAAAGUCGACCUUAGGGCCUGUAACUAGUGUUGUCCUGUGGAUUUGUAAUUGGCUGUUUUGCAAUCUGAUUCCUGACUUGCCCACAGUUCAAAUCAACAAACAAAUUAAUAGGCUCAUGCAUAGGUGGCUCAAGGGUAAGGCCACUAAAGCAUCUGCUUUAGGCCCCCAUGAGUCAAAGGCCCCAAAAAAUUUAUUGUUAUCAUAUAUAUUACUCAUGUGUACGUAUUUAUAGUAUAUAGCUUUGUAUGCAAAAAAAAAUAAUCAGUAUCACAUGUCUUAUUAUAUAAGUGGAAGAGGAUCUUUCAAGUUAAUAAAAUGUUAGUCAU